UUAAACAAAAUAAAAAUAAAUUUAAAAAAUUAAAAAAAUACUUCAAAAAUUCAAAAAAAAAAAAAAAUCAAAACUUAAAAAAAUUUCAAAAAUUAAAAAAAAAUUCCAAACAAAUUUGUGCCAGUUAGCUUCAAAUACUCAAUAACUGCGAACAAAUUUUUUUCCCCAAAAAAUACGAUUGUAACGCGCAUUUCUCGAAAUAACACGUUUGGACCCAUACUGUUGUUAUUGUUCGUAUCAGUGAUUCAGUUUUUCACUUGAUAAUUAAUUUUCAAGGCUGGCGCACACAUUUUUUCUAGCGCAUAGUGACUAGCAAAAUUGUAGUACGCAUAAGUUAACCAAACGGACAGUCGCAGUUGCACGCAUAUCCUGCGCUGAUCCUGCGGCGCGUCAAAGGAACACAAAUAUUUUAGCUUAGAGCCUAUAAAAAUAUAUGGAAAAAUACUAGAAAGCAAUAUUCGAUACGCCAUGCGCUCAGAACACGCGCUACGCAGUACAAAUUACACACAAAUUCUAAAAUUGAGUGAAAGAGCUUUUUUCAAAACGACCAAAGCUUGUGCGCUCACUGUAUAUUAGUCAACUCAAAUUCUUUACUCACUAGUAUAGCAUUUAACAAACCGAAUUUGUUGCUGUGCGAUGAGCAGUGGUAGCCUUCAAAAACCGCUCAUAUACUUACACUCACACACACAUGCGAAUACAAGCCCUUUCAAGCUUUUUCGAAGCACUCAAGGCGCACUGUUUUGAAAAAUGUGCUCAGCGAUAAACUUGUGUCAAAAUAUGACUAAUAGGCCGGUUGCUAGAUAGAUAGAGUAAAGCAGCGUGAGAGUGAGAUAGAGAGAGAGAGAGUGCGCGAGCGCUGAGACUUGCGCUCAAAAGCGCGCUACUGUGCUCAAUGAGGGUGAACAGCAACGCGCCGUGGAUGGCAGAAAAUUUUGGUUUGAAAGGAGCAGAUAAAAGAGCUUAAAGUGCAACAAAAAGAGCAGCAACAACAAUUAUUUGGUAGUAACAGCAAAUAAGUGCUACAUAAGUAAACAAAAAGGGAGCAACUUAAACACACACACGCGCUCAAACAGCGCAGCCGAGUAUGUAUGAAUAAUUUCGAAUAUUUCGAUUUCGAAAGUAUCCUUUUGCCGUUACUGACAGCGUUAAACUUGGCUAAAACCGCACGCCACAUACACACCCACAUACAAAUACUUGAAAUCGGCAAGCAAAAAGCAGCGCACAGCUAUUUUGUAUAUCUUUUGGAACGCAUUGACACACAUACAUGCAUAUAUAUACAUAUUUUGGGGCACCCACACGAGUCGUGGCGAACACACGAGAGCGCAGAACAAAAACUACACGUCAGGCGCAAGGAUACACAGGCGUGCAAGGCAGCAGCAGCAGCAGAAGUCAGCCAGCCAGCAAACUGUGAAAGCUGUGAUGUAGAAAAUGAAAAUCAAAUAGUCAAAUCCGGAUAAAUUUCACAAAUUAAACGCAGCGCUGUCGAAAAGCGAGUUGGUUGUGCUGUAAAAAACGUGAGAACGCAGUAAAAUUGAAUUAUUGAAAAGGAUUUUUGUGCACAAGGAAGCUGCUAAUUUCCUAAAUAUAAACGCAAAAACAGGAAGUGUUAAGCGCAGCGUUGUAGUUGUAUUUAUUUGAGAAGCGCUGCACUAACGCGCGCGUUUGUCUGUGUGUUAUGUGUGUGCAUGUAUGCGCAUAUACGCUGUGCGCGCUGUGUAAACCAUAAAAUGUCGAGCGCAGGACGACGCUUUGCCUGAAUUGAUUUUUUGCACAGUUUGAUUGUUUUUUUUUCGUGAGCGCGUUGGAUUUUAUUUUUGUAUUUGCUACCUAUAAUGUGGGUAUUUUUCAGCGCGGCGCGGUGUGGCCUAAAGUGUGUCAGUGUUAGGAAACUUAAAGCAAGUAACUAGGAAGUGUGUUCAGAACAAUUUCAAGUCGAAAAUAAUAUAUUGUAAAUGUAAAGAAGUUGAAACAUCACGCGCCGCAGUUUUCUUAAACGUAACGCUACUACAACUCCACCGCGCGCUGCCGCUACCAACGCGUUUACGCAAAAAAAGAAUAAAACUCCAGUAGUGCAAGCGCGCUGCUACACCAAACGCUUCAGCAUUGUUUUGUGUUUGUGUUGUGUGUGCUUUCGUGCUCAUGUGUGAGUUGGCAUGCUAGCGCGUCGUUGUAGUGGUGUGCAGCGCAGCGCUGUCUCAAUCCACCUAUGUAGCGUAUACGCCACCGCAACCGUGUGUGAAUUCUGAAUGUGCGAGUGAUUCGUUGUUAGUCAGCUGCAUGAGUCGGAACUGCAGUGCAAGGCGUUGUAGUAAGCGUUCAAGCGUUCAACGGUACAUACACAGCAAUUCGUCCUGUUCGGCGUGUGAGCGCGUUCGUGUGGGUGUGCCUUUUGAAGCAGCAGCUGAAGCUGUGCAAGCAAAUAGUGAUUUUUCGGUAUUUAUUACUUAAAAAAAAAAGAAGUUCAGUUAGAGUAACCGCUAAUACAUCUCAAAACACGCGGCGUGCAAGUCAGCGCUCGUAUGUGUGUGUUGGUGCCUGUGCUUGGGCGUAUUUUCGUUGUUUGCAAGUGAAAAAAGUAAGCAAAAAAUAAACGCAAAAAAGUCUACUACGCUGCCAAAGCUAUUUUCAACCGAAAUAAUAUAACGUAUACAACAACAACAAUUAAAUUUAAGCAUUUAACGCACCGUAGUCGGUGGCUGAAAUCGCUCGCUCUACCUUCAACUGGCCGCCGCAGAUAAGCAAGCCACACACGCUCGCACGGUCGCUUGAAGUGUGCUCAGCGCUCUAAUGUUGUCUUACGAUAUUUUCAUUAGGAAGGCAAACGGAUUUGGCCAUUUACUCAUUUACUCAAGUGGCUGUACGUGUUUUAAGUGUUUCAAUUCUACGCUGUCUACCACAAGCAAACACCUAAAUAAACAGUGUUGAAAUGUUGAAAUAAAAUUGCCAGAAAAAAGCAACAAAAAUAACACUUAAAGAAAUUACAAUAAAUUACAAAGCAACAGUGCUAUACACAAAUAUAUAUAAACUAAAUAUAUAUUAUAUAUAUAAAUAAGAAGAGUUGAAUUAAACGAAAAAAUUGUUCAACUAAAAAUACGCUACAAGCCAAUUAGCAGCAGCAGCAACAAACAGCUACAACAAAGUAGCGAAUUUGUGCAUAAAAAUUAAGCAACAAAAAUUACACUGCAAAAAAUAGCAACGAAAGCAUAGAAGAAGAGACAUACAUGUGCAGGCGAUAGCCGAAUUAAAUACAGGCGCACACAUGUAAAGCGAAUGAAACAUAAAAAAGACAACGAAAAUUUGAAAAAUAAUUAAUUUAAUUGAAAAAUGUGAGAAAUAAAUUAAAUAAAAUUAAUUUAAUUAAAAAAAUUGAAAAUAAUUAAAGAAAAAAUUAAAGUAAUUAAAAAAAUUAAUGAAAAAAUUUAAAUAAUUUUUGAAAAAUUGAAAUAUUUAAUAAAAAUGCUUUAAAAUAUUUAAGAAAAGUAAAAUAAAAACAAAAAAAAUUAACUAAAUUAAAAAAAUUAAAGAAAAAUUAAAAAAAUUGACAAAAAAAAUAAAAGUAUUAAAAAUUAAAAAUAUUUCAAAAUUAACAUAAUUAAAAAAGAAAUAAUGAAAAAAAUUAUUUUCUAAUUAAAGUAAAAUUAACAAAAAUCUGUAAAAGUCAACUAGGUAUACGCUGGCGAGCACAUAAAAAAUCAGCUAAUCAAAUUGAGUUGCCGCUGAGCGGCAGCAUGCAUUGCUGUUGAAUUAAAUGUGUGGCAUGCAAUGUGGUCGCCGACGCCAAGUAAUUGCAAUUGAGCAUAUGCAAAUUAACGGAAACGAAACGAAAACAAAUCAGUGAGCAACAGAAAAAAUCGUUUAUAAAUAAAUUGCUGCCAAAUUACGCGCGGCAACUGAGCAAUUAAGCGAAUAAAUAAAUAAUUCGAUAGAAAUAAAACAAAAACAAA